GAAGUGCUGCUCAUUUCAGAGCACUGAUCAGGGCUAGUGACUGACUGACACUGCUGCAAAAACAGUCAGUCAGCAAAAUACAAACAGGUAAUAGAUACAGAGACAGUGUAACAGCAUGUCCAAAGCGGCUGAAGAAGACACAGUGUGGAUCGGGUUCAUGGACAUCGUUCCGGUCAUCGGGACGGUAAAAGAGGCAGUGGAGCUGGUGUUGGCUCUGUAUGAAGGGAAUAAAGCUGUGAUAAAGGAGAAAGAGAAGGCCGUUGAAAACAUUGUGAAAGAGUCAUUAAAAAAACAUGUGAAGGAAAAACAUGUGAAAAAGUUGACUAAAUCAGGAGCUUUUCUAGUUGAUAAACCAGCAGCAGCUGCAGAUGAAUUUUCUGGACUCAGAAAUGUGAAAGAGGUCAGAAAGGAAAUGAUUAUUGAACAUAUGGUCAGAGGUUCCAAAAGGGGAACAAAACCUCCAACUUCAGUUCAACAGCAAGAAAGACAGAAAAGAGUGGAGGCUAUUAAUAAAGACAUGUUAGAAAAGAUCCAUAUCCUCAAUCAAAACUUCGCUAAGCAGCUGAAGGAAGAACUGGGAAGGUCACAAAGAGGCGAACAUGUCUUCAACAAUGACAUUCUUAGAUUUCAUUUCAAAGUGCUGACUGAGUUUAUACAAAGCCAUCAUAUUGAUAAUCUACGAGGAUAUAAUCGGCAGGCGAUGGAUACAUUAGGCAGACACACACUUCCCCAAAACACAGAAACAGAUAUUCAGACAAACAUGGUGGUUCACUUUGGUCAGGAUGAAUUCUACAUGAAUGCAAAUGCAGUGAUGUAUGGUGAAUAUUGCAGAGCACUGCGUGGUGCUUUGUUAGAUGUGCUGCGCCACAUAAACCCAGGUGACGUGGAAGAUGAGGAGAGACAAAGGGUGAAUUUUGUCAUAGAAAAUAUGAAUAACCUUGAAAUCUAUGUGGACCAACUGGCAAAGGUCAGGUGGAUUGGCAAUAAUGCGACUAGACAGGCCCGGUUUGAACAGGUAAGACAGGAAGUUGCGACCAUGUAUAACACAGAUCGUGGGUUAAACUGGUGCAUUCACAUUCUGGAUGUAGUUGCACCUUUGUAUGGACAGUGAGUUAAUUUCUCCUGUUCGGGGUGGCCAGGUUUCCUUUCAAAAUUUCCAUCUCAGCUACAUCCUAAAUCCCACAGACCUGAAACUGGCUCAAAGUUUGGACACUGGAAGAAACAAAAGGUUCACUGUGGUGCACAAACAUUUGUAUAUUUGCAAUGUUUCCAACACACUUAGGGUCAGAGUUUUGUCAUCCAUUGCCUGUUACACCUGUUAUCCUCUCCGUAAUCAUGUUUUUCUCUCCCAACCUGUUCAGAAAUGGCUUCAUACAUUUUCCAUACAUUACACUUUCCCUUUGUCUGCCAUAGCCCAGUGGGUUUUUGGGAAAUGUAUUAGCUUUAAUUCUGAUUAUUUACUUUUAAACAAGAUCUUGGCCUUUGGUUGGUUUUUACUUUCCCACACCCCCAAAAAACCCCACCCAUGGGCUUGUUUUUUCUACCAUAACAACGUUCCAAAACUGAAAACUCUGACUUUGGCAACCCUCCUCAAAAUGAUCCAUUUUACUCAAAAAGAAAAUGCUAAUUUCCAACAUAAAGAUUCAUGCACUCAGCUACAUGUCUGUAACUAAAAUUUAAAGCUGAGCCUAAUAACAAGUGGAAGUUUAGUUGUUAUUAAAAUGACUGUGUGUGUACAUGUGAAGCAGAACAGGGAUGUUGGAGGCAUCUCAAAUCCUCCAUCUCCUUUUAUUCCCUCCAUCGUCGUUGUUAUAACCACCAGAUGGAGGAUUCAUGAUCAUGUGUAGAGACUUUAGAGCUCUGUAGUAUUGCUCUAAAAUUAAAAAAAACACUUAUGUAAUUUAACAGAACAGGAGGAUUAAUGAUUAUCAUCCAGCCAUCAGGGCUUUUAAUGCAGCACUUAUUCUCUAAAGACUCUAAAUAUGAUUGAGCUUUGAGAAAAACAUGUUUGGAUAUGUAGGUAUUAUACGAGUUUAUUUUACAGAUGUAUACAUUAUUAUUUGACUUUAUAGCACAGUUUGUAGCUUUUUACACAUACAUUCUUGCUGUUAUUGUAAACUUUCUUCAGUUUUCAGAUGAUUCAUGCUGAUGAUUGAAUUAUGAUAUUUUACCAUUUACUGUAAUUAUCUGAUUACGGUUACCAACAAAUUUUGAUUAGCUAAUCUCAUUGAGACCUGUUGCAUUAAAUGGUUUCUAAUGCAAAAUUCCUGGAAAGCAUGCUGAGCUGCAUUUACAUUUAUGGGACAAGUUCCAUGGAAAUAUGUUUAAAAUAAAAUAAAGUGAUUACUAACAACCUACAGUGCC
ensembl:lncRNA